rnacentral:rRNA from 1 species
AUGGCCAAGCAAUUUACCGCUUGCAACUGGGCUCAUUCCUGGUUCACCGAAGAACAAUUGAACGAUAUGGUCAGCAUCGGUACUUUGCCUAAGAAAACUAAAAUUAAAUGGCGAGUUCCAGGAGCAGAAAAUCCUCCAACCCCGAGGCAGGGUGAGGUGGUGGUCUUUGUUGACCACAUAGGCUGUGGCUUCAAACCGCCAGGGUCAAAGUUUUACCGAGAUGUGCUUUCCAGUUUCCAGCUUCAUCCUCAAGAUAUCGGACCCAACUUGGUCUCCAAUUUAUGCAACUUCCAGGUCUUCUGUGAAGUGCACUUACAAGAAGGACCAACUGCGGAGCUGUUCCGGGACUUCUUUCACCUAAACCGGCGCACAGAAUUUGUAAAGGGCCCCAACACUGAACUUGGUGGUGUCUCAAUUUAG